rnacentral:rRNA from 1 species
UUCCGGUUGAUCCUGCCGGACCCGACUGCUAUCAGAGUGGGACUAAGCCAUGCGAGUCAACACAGCAAUGUGUGGCAUACGGCUCAGUAACACGUAGUCAACAUGCCCAGGGGACGUGGAUAACCUCGGGAAACUGAGGAUAAACCGCGAUAGGUCACUGCUUCUGGAAUGGGCAAUGACCCAAACCUACAUGGCCCCUGGAUUGGACUGCGGCCGAUCAGGCUGUUGGUGAGGUAAUGGCCCACCAAACCUGUAACCGGUACGGGCUCUGAGAGGAGGAGCCCGGAGAUGGGCACUGAGACAAGGGCCCAAGCCCUAUGGGGCGCAGCAGGCGCGAAACCUCUG